rnacentral:rRNA from 1 species
GACGAACGCUGGCGGCGCGCUUAACACAUGCAAGUCGAACGGAAAGGCCUGCUUUCCCUUGUGGAUUGCGGGUACUCGAGUGGCGAACGGGUGAGUAACACGUGAGUGAUCUGCCCCCAACUUGGGUAUAAGCCUGGGAAACUGGGUCUAAUUCCCGAUAGGACUGCAGGGUGGUGCCUGUGGUGGAAAACGAUUUUCUAGUGGUUGGGGAUGAGCUCGCGGCCUAUCAGCUUGUUGGUGGGGUAAUGGCCUACCAAGGCGGCGACGGGUAGCCGGCCUGAGAGGGUGGACGGCCACAUUGGGACUGAGAUACGGCCCAGACUCCUACGGGAGGCAGCAGUGGGGAAUAUUGCACAAUGGGCGGAAGCCUGAUGCAGCGACGCCGCGUGGGGGAUGACGGCCUUCGGGUUGUAAACUCCUUCCGACCGCGAGGAAGCCACCUGGUUGGAAGGGUGGUGACGGUAGUGGUAGAAGAAGCACCGGCUAACUACGUG